GUCGACCUCCUCGAACUCAAAGUCCUCGGAUUCGUCCUUGUUCCAGCGCACCGUGCGAUCACUACUGAUUUCAUUAUUAGUGCGGAUUUUCGGUGGCCGGGCGGGGAGAGAAAAUUCGAUCAAAUCAAUCAAAAAAACCAAAUCAAAACCAAAUCAAAAAACAAACUCAUUGGCAACAGAAUACGGUUAAUAACGUUGGUAGAACCUGUUCAAGCCGACCGCUGGCGGAGGAGGGGGCGGAGGAGCGCCCCUGGGCGGCGUGCGUCGGGCGCUGAAAAAAAAAGAUCACGGAUAUCAGUGUUAUUGGUUUCGUCUCAAUUGCAGCUUCCACCGCAUAAUAUUGCCGGGGAUUCCCGCAAGCCAGCUUCAAACUCGCAUGGGAAGCCAGCGAUUUUAGCAAUUUGCCACCGAAUUCACGAGGGGCUUGUGGCAUCCGGAGAUGGAAAUGAAAAUGGAGACGGAGACGCAGACGAGUGCCUGAAGUCCCAGAGCUGAAAAGUUGUCCUGUGGGCGUUGCCGGUUUCAAAAGCAGGCCCGUAAACAACGAUUGUGCUUAUGUUUAUGAGCGUUUAUUUACGACUCGAAAUUUUGAAUAAUUUACGAUGGCGACGACGGCGCACAAAGAAUGCAAUGUGAGUGCAACAGCGAAACAGCAACGGGAUAUUCCCUUUAGUGCAAGCCACAAGGAUACGCGCUUAACUAAAACCAAACAGGACAUGCUACAUUGAAUUUGCUGGUACAAAAAGCGCAAUUAAAGAGUUGCGGUCAUGCGAGUUUUUGCAUAGCCCCCGAAAAUUCAGCCAAAUGGAGCAGAUUGUGCAGCGUGCGGCGGAAACAGCGGCUGUGAUAGCCGCGAACGCAACCGGAAACACAAAAUGCCACCAUCGACCGGAAGGUAAAUUAUUGCAAUCGGACUGGCAGACAUUUUCAUUUCCAUAACCGUGAAAUGGACGCAUUUACCCGCCGCAUCUGCUGUGACAAAAGGUGCUCAUGCUAUGUACCGAAAGGGAUCAGGCCAGGGAUUUGCCAUUUUCGCACGGAAAUUCACUAUUAUUCGGACUUUGGAAACCGGAAAACCACGUUGAUGGCCGCACUUGAACGUGGUUGAAAUGCUAUUCAAACUACUUCAUCUGAAUUAAAUGAAAUUUGCUUUGGUUCGUUAAUUGAGGCUGGAAGUCAACAGCGAUAUUUAGUUAAUUAACUUUAAUUGGGAUCUUAAAUAUUAAUUAUUCAUAUUUAAUUGUCCUUUUGUGAGAUAAGUAGACACAUAUUUUAUAAACAAAAUUUUGAA